rnacentral:rRNA from 1 species
UACGUAGGGGGCAAGCGUUGUCCGGAAUCAUUGGGCGUAAAGCGCGUGUAGGCGGCCAGUUAAGUCCGCUGUGAAAUCUCGAGGCUCAACUUCGAGCUGUCGGUGGAAACUGUCUGGCUAGAGUCCGGAAGAGGAGAAUGGAAUUCCUGGUGUAGCGGUGAAAUGCGCAGAUAUCAGGAAGAACACCCGUGGCGAAGGCGGUUCUCUGGGACGGUACUGACGCUGAGACGCGAAAGCGUGGGGAGCGAACAGG